UACGUAGGGAGCGAGCGUUGUCCGGAAUCAUUGGGCGUAAAGAGCGUGUAGGCGGCCCGAUAAGUCCGCUGUGAAAGUCCAGGGCUCAACCCUGGGAUGCCGGUGGAUACUGUCGGGCUCGAGUCCGGAAGAGGAGUGUGGAAUUCCUGGUGUAGCGGUGAAAUGCGCAGAUAUCAGGAGGAACACCAAUGGCGAAGGCAGCACUCUGGGACGUGACUGACGCUGAGACGCGAAAGCGUGGGGAGCAAACAGG
rnacentral:rRNA from 1 species